UACGUAGGGUGCGAGCGUUGUCCGGAAUUACUGGGCGUAAAGAGCUCGUAGGUGGUUUGUCACGUCGUCUGUGAAAUUCCGGGGCUUAACCUCGGGCGUGCAGGCGAUACGGGCAAUACUUGAGUGCUGUAGGGGAGACUGGAAUUCCUGGUGUAGCGGUGAAAUGCGCAGAUAUCAGGAGGAACACCAAUGGCGAAGGCAGGUCUCUGGGCAGUUACUGACGCUGAGGAGCGAAAGCAUGGGUAGCGAACAGGAUUAGA
rnacentral:rRNA from 1 species